rnacentral:rRNA from 1 species
AUUGAACGCUGGCGGCAUGCUUUACACAUGCAAGUCGGACGGCAGCGGGGUAGUGCUUGCACUACUGCCGGCGAGUGGCGAACGGGUGAGUAAUAUAUUGGAACGUACCGAGUAAUGGGGGAUAACCAAUCGAAAGAUUGGCUAAUACCGCAUACGCUCUGAGGAGGAAAGCAGGGGACCUUCGGGCCUUGCGUUAUUCGAGCGGCCAAUAUCUGAUUAGCUAGUUGGUGGGGUAAGGGCCUACCAAGGCGACGAUCAGUAGCGGGUCUGAGAGGAUGAUCCGCCACACUGGGACUGAGACACGGCCCAGACUCCUACGGGAGGCAGCAGUGGGGAAUUUUGGACAAUGGGCGCAAGCCUGAUCCAGCCAUGCCGCGUGUCUGAAGAAGGCCUUCGGGUUGUAAAGGACUUUUGUUAGGGAAGAAAAAGGAGCGGUUAAUACCCGUUUCUGCUGACAGUACCUAAAGAAUAAGCACCGGCUAACUACGUG